UACGUAGGGGGCGAGCGUUGUCCGGAAUUAUUGGGCGUAAAGAGCUCGUAGGCGGCCUGUUGCGUCCGCUGUGAAAGCCCGGGGCUUAACCCCGGGUCUGCAUUCGAUACGGGCAGGCUAGAGUGUGGUAGGGGAGAUCGGAAUUCCUGGUGUAGCGGUGAAAUGCGCAGAUAUCAGGAGGAACACCGGUGGCGAAGGCGGAUCUCUGGGCCAUUACUGACGCUGAGGAGCGAAAGCGUGGGGAGCGAACAGG
rnacentral:rRNA from 1 species